CCUACGGGAGGCAGCAGUGGGGGAUAUUGCACAAUGGGGGGAACCCUGAUGCAGCGACGCCGCGUGGGUGAAGAAGCGCCUCGGCGCGUAAAGCCCUGUCAGCAGGGAAGAAAAUGACGGUACCUGACGAAGAAGCCCCGGCUAACUACGUGCCAGCAGCCGCGGUAAUACGUAGGGGGCAAGCGUUAUCCGGAUUUACUGGGUGUAAAGGGGGCGCAGACGGCGAUGCAAGCCAGGAGUGAAAGCCCGGGGCCCAACCCCGGGACUGCUCUUGGAACUGCGUGGCUGGAGUGCAGGAGGGGCAGGCGGAAUUCCUGGUGUAGCGGGGAAAUGCGUAGAUAUCAGGAGGAACACCGGUGGCGAAGGCGGCCUGCUGGACUGCAACUGACGUUGAGGCCCGAAAGCGUGGGGAGCAAACAGGAUUAGAUACCCCGGUAGUC
rnacentral:rRNA from 1 species